UACAGAGGGGGCAAGCGUUGUUCGGAAUUACUGGGCGUAAAGGGCGCGUAGGCGGCCUGCUAAGUCGAACGUGAAAUCCCUGGGCUCAACCCAGGAACUGCGUCCGAUACUGGUUGGCUUGAAUCCGGGAGAGGGAUGUGGAAUUCCAGGUGUAGCGGUGAAAUGCGUAGAUAUCUGGAGGAACACCGGUGGCGAAGGCGACAUCCUGGACCGGUAUUGACGCUGAGGUGCGAAAGCCAGGGGAGCAAACGGG
rnacentral:rRNA from 1 species